rnacentral:tRNA from 1 species
AAAAUGGCUGAGUAAGCAUUAGACUGUAAAUUUAAGCACAGAGGAUGAUGCCUCUUUUUACCA